UACGAGGGGGGCGAGCGUUGUUCGGAAUUAUUGGGCGUAAAGGGUGCGUAGGCGGUUUGAUAAGUCUGAUGUGAAAUCUAUGGGCUCAACCCAUAGCCUGCAUUAGAAACUGUCGGGCUUGAGUAUGGGAGAGGUGAGUGGAAUUUCCGGUGUAGCGGUGAAAUGCGCAGAUAUCAGGAGGAACACCGGUGGCGAAGGCGGGUCUCUGGGCCAUUGACUGACACUGGAGAAGCGAAAGCAUGGGGAGCGAACAGG
rnacentral:rRNA from 1 species